rnacentral:rRNA from 1 species
AGAGUUUGAUCCUGGCUCAGAACGAACGCUGGCGGCGCGCCUAAUACAUGCAAGUCGAGCGAGAAGGUGUAGCAAUACACUUGUAAAGCGGCGAACGGGUGAGGAAUACAUGGGUAAUCUACCAUCGAGUGGGGAAUAACCAACCGAAAGGUUGGCUAAUACCGCGUACGCUUCCGAAUCUUCGGGUUUGGAAGGAAAGCCGUGCUGUGAGUACGGCGCUCUUUGAUGAGCUCAUGUCCUAUCAGCUUGUUGGUAGGGUAACGGCCUACCAAGGCUUUGACGGGUAGCUGGUCUGAGAGGACGAUCAGCCACACUGGCACUGCGACACGGGCCAGACUCCUACGGGAGGCAGCAGUAAGGAAUAUUGCGCAAUGGGCGAAAGCCUGACGCAGCGACGCCGCGUGGGGGAUGAAGGUCUUCGGAUUGUAAACCCCUUUCGGGAGGGAAGAUGGAGCGAGCAAUCGUUCGGACGGUACCUCCAGAAGCAGCCACGGCCAACUUCGUGCCAGCAGCCGCGGUAAUACGAAGGUGGCAAGCGUUGUUCGGAUUCACUGGGCGUACAGGGUGUGUAGGCGGUUUGGUAAGCCCUCUGUUAAAGCUUCGGGCCCAACCCGGAAAGCGCAGAGGGUACUGCCAGGCUAGAGGGUGGGAGAGGAGCGCGGAAUUCCCGGUGUAGCGGUGAAAUGCGUAGAGAUCGGGAAGAAGGCC